GAAUAGGCAGUGCCUGCUGCUAAAGUAAGAAUUUUUUGAUAACCGAUAGUGUAAAAGUACUGUGAAGGGAAGUUGAAAAAGAUAUCGUAGGGAUAGUUGAAAAGAAAUGAAACUUAAUACUUUAACGGUUGGAGUAUAAAAAAGAUAUGACAGCGUACCUUUUGUAUAAUGGGCCAAUGAGUAUAUUUUUGAGGCAAGCUUAACUUUAAGGGAGGCGUAGUGAAAGCAAAGAGUAAAAUCUGUAAAGUCUAAAAAAUAUGACCCGAAACCAAGUGAUCUAACCAACACCAAGUUUUUGGCUGAACCGGUGUCUGUUGCAAGAGGCUCGGAUGAGUGUUGGUUAGGAGUGAAAGGCUAAUCAAACUUGGUGAUAGCUGGUUUUCUGCGAAACUUGUUUAAGCAAGGCGUAUUUUGAUUUUGUAGAGGUAUGGCACUAAUAUUAUUCCGGAGUAACUAAGUUAUUUACGGGUAUAGUGAAACCAAGAAUGUUAUAAAAAUAAAAAAGUAUAGAAAGACUUAGGGUGCGAAGAUUCUAGGUCGAGAGGGAAAAAGCCCAGACUAUAAGCUAAGGCCCUUAAAUAAUAAUCAACUGGAAAGACGGUAAUAAAAGCGGAGAUGGGCCUAGAAGCAGCCAUUCUUUAAAGAAUGCGUAAAAGCUCACGUAUUGUUUUUUAAGCGUCCAUGAUGUAAGGGGCUCUAAAUUAUUUGCCGAAGCUAUAGAAUUAAUUUGGUAGCAGAAUGUAUUGUAUGUAAAAAACUGUACGUGAGUUUGGUUAAAAUAUCAAUAGUAUAAAUGUUGGCAUGAGUAGCUUUAUAAUGUAAAAACAUUAUUACCGAAAGAUUAAGGUUUCCUUAUCUAUGUUAAACAGAUAAGGGUUAGCCGGUCCUUAAGGGAAUGUGUUUGGUAAGAUUCCGACUAAGGUUAUAUUAGUUAAUAUUCAGAGCAAUUUUAUAGAAAUUUAAUUACAAAAAAUAGUUAUUGUAAUCGUAAAAUAUCAAUUUUUUUGUAACUUACAAGAAAAAAAUAAAAAAAAAAAACCGUACCAAUAACCGACACAGGUAAUUAGUUGUAGAACAAUAAGGUAAUAGAAGAAUAAUGCUUAAGGAACUCGGCAAAAUAACUCAGUAACUUCGGGAGAUAGGGUACCUAAAAUAUUGUUUUUUAAAAUAAAUUAAAAGUGAAAAUAAUUUAUUUUUAAGAAGGUAUUUUGGGGGAAGCGGAACAGAGAAGAGCGACUGUUUACUAAAAACACAGGACCCUGCUAAAUAGUAUAUGAAGUAUAGGGUUCGAUGCCUGCCCGGUGCUGUAUCGUGAAAAGGAUUUGUUUAAAAGCAAUGAAUAUAAGCAGCAGUAAACGGCGGCCGUAAUCCUUGACGGUCUUAAGGUAGCGAAAUUCCUAGGCUAUUAAUUGUAGUCCUGCAUGAAGGCGUAACGACUCUUCUACUGUCUCAAGUGUUAUUUUAGUGAAAUUGAAGUUUUCGUGAAGAUGCGAAAAAAUUGCAGCGGGACGGAAAGACCCUGUGCACCUUUACUAAAACCUUGUAUGGGUUAAGGAAAGCAAAAACACAGUAUAAUCAAGAGGUUAUGAUUUAAUGGUUUAGGUCAUUUAAGGAGCCGUCAGUGGAAUAUUGAUUUUUUGUUGGAAAAAUCUAAUCUUAGUAGAAAUUAAAAAUGCAUGGUGGAUAGUUUGUCUGGGGCGGAAGCUCCCUAAAAGGUAACGGGAGUGUACAAAGGCUAAUUCAGGACGUUAAAGUUCCGUAGUGCAUAAUGGUUUUUAUUUUAGCUUGACUGUAAGCUUGAAAGGGUUAACAGGGAUUUAAAGUCGGUCAUAGUUUUCCGGAUGCGCUUACAGGUAGGGCAUCCGCAAACGGAUAAAAGGUACGCCAGGGAUAACAGGCUUAUUGCCUUUGAGAGUUCUUAUCUGCGAGGCGGUUUGGCACCUCGAUGUCGGCUCAUCUCAUCCUGGGGGAGUAGGGGCUCCCAAGGGUACGACUGUUCGUCGUUUAAAGAGGUACGUGAGCUGGGUUUAGAACGUCGUGAGACAGUUUGGCCCCUAUCUGCUGUGAUAAAAAUUAAAAUUAGAGCCCAAUGCAGUACGAGAGGAGGCGUUAUGGUAAUAGGGUGGCACCGCUUGUGGUAGCGUUAUCGGUUUUACGUUCCGGUUGGCGUUAAAGCUACGUGCGAAAAAGGGAACUGCUGAUAACAUAUAAGUAGGAAUCUG
rnacentral:rRNA from 1 species